rnacentral:rRNA from 1 species
AUGCCAGAUGUAAUGCAUCUCCAAACCGACAUAGCUAUUCACCCCACUACAAAUAGGAGCCAUCCCUUUCACUGUGGCCACACACAAUCAUCCGCUGGAGAAACCCCUCUGCCUUUUCACCUUGCCUUUUCACUUUCUGCCACACUACUGUCCUCCACUGAUGUGAAGCUCUUUGGGUUGCAUGCGCCACCAGGUACUAAUCAAGUACCUUGUUGUGUUAGACCUUCUUGCUUGACUUCUUAUCUAUCUCCACCUCGGUUUGAAUCAGUCCAUGAGCGUCUAUUCACCUUGAUCUAUUUACCUUGCAGUAAAAAGAACAAACAGUAG